UGCAGUCGUACGAGAGUUUUUAACUCAAGUGGCGGACGGGUGAGUAACACGUAAGAAUUUGCCUUUAGGAGGGGGACAACAUCUAGAAAUGGGUGCUAAUACCCCAUAUGCUUUCGAGUGAAAUGGAUUUUUCCGCCUAGAGAGAAGCUUGCGGCUGAUUAGCUUGUUGGUGAGGUAAUGGCUCACCAAGGCGACGAUCAGUAUCUGGUUUGAGAGGACGAUCAGACACACUGGAACUGAGACACGGUCCAGACUCCUACGGGAGGCAGCAGUGGGGAAUUUUCCGCAAUGGGCGAAAGCCUGACGGAGCAAUACCGCGUGAGGGAUGACGGCCUAUGGGUUGUAAACCUCUUUUUUCGGGGAGGAAUCAAUGACGUGUACCUGAAGAAUAAGCAUCGGCUAACUCCGUGCCAGCAGCCGCGGUAAGACGGAGGAUGCAAGUGUUAUCCGGAAUCACUGGGCGUAAAGCGUCUGUAGGUGGUCCAAUAAGUCAACUGUUAAAUCUUGAGGCUCAACCUCAAAAUCGCAGUCGAAACUAUUAGACUAGAGUAUAGUAGGGGUAAAGGGAAUUUCCAGUGGAGCGGUGAAAUGCGUAGAGAUUGGAAAGAACACCGAUGGCGAANGCACUUUACUGNNCUAUUACUAACACUCAGAGACGAAAGCUAGGGUAGCAAAUGGGNNUAGAUACCCCAGUAGUCCUAGCCGUAAACAAUGGAUACUAGAUGUUGGACAGAUCGACCUGUGCAGUAUUAAAGCUAACGCGUUAAGUAUCCCGCCUGGGAAGUAUGCUCGCAAGANUGAAACUCAAAGGANNUGANNGGGCCCGCACAAGCGGUNGNNCNNGUGUUUNNUUCGAUGCNACNCNA
rnacentral:rRNA from 1 species